UACGUAGGGGGCAAGCGUUGUCCGGAUUUAUUGGGCGUAAAGAGCGUGUAGGCGGCCAUACAGGUCCGUUGUGAAAACUGGAGGCUUAACCUCCAGACGUCGAUGGAAACCGUAUGGCUAGAGUCCGGAAGAGGAGAGUGGAAUUCCUGGUGUAGCGGUGAAAUGCGCAGAUAUCAGGAGGAACACCGGUGGCGAAGGCGGGUCUCUGGACGAUUACUGACGCUGAGACGCGAAAGCGUGGGGAGCAAACAGG
rnacentral:rRNA from 1 species